CAACCACUGGUUCCCGUACAAUCACCGAAGUUAAGCAACAUCGAACCUGAUUAGUACCGAGAUGGGAGGACACUUCGGAAUUCAACGUGCUGUA